AAUCAGCUGCUUCCCCAAAAAGCCAAGGGUACUUUUAAUGGAAAAUGAUAUUAGAAAUCAAGAUUUGGACAUUUGGGAUGUUGUUGCUUCUAGACACUCUCAGCUGACAGAGCAAGGAAAUAUUUGUGGAUAUGCUAACCUGACUAAAUACGCAUAUCUGCUCCAUACCUACCUAACAUCUAUCUUCUCAAGAACUCUGCCAGGGAAGGAGUAGUUUCUGUGUUUCAUAAACAGACUGAGACUCAAAGAGGCUAAGUAAACUACCUGAAGCCAUAUAUAGCAACACACAAUGACGGAUGUGAGAUUCAAACUUGGAUUUAUCUGGCUCCAAAAUUUCUAGUUUUUUUUUUUUUUUUUUUCCCACUACAGCAAAACUAAGGAGAAGAGACAGAGGUGAAUAGCUGUCUCUCAGUGGUUAUUCUGUUUUCCCUUAUCUACAUGUUUUCCUCCUUUCACUCUCUCUUGGUUUGUUCUUAUCCUUCAGAAAAACACUAGAUCUGAAUAACAAAGGAUGCAUACUUAAGCAAACUAAGGCAUAUAUAGUUAUCACUAAAUGCUCAACCUGGAAAGAAUACUGGAUUGCAGUCUGCUUUUUCUGUAAAGACAAUAGUAUUAUAAAACCGAAAGAGACAACAGGGAAUAUUUCCCACUCAACUAAGCAUAUCUAAAAGCACAUUUGAAGUUUGGAGACAAUAUUCUGUGUUAUUUUAAGAAAAGUAGCAUUAUUACCUUCUGUGGUGAUCUAGCUACAUAAGAACUGGAAAUGCCUAGGUUUAAAAUCGGGGUAUAAAGCAACCCAGAGCUUGUUAGAUAUGCAAGAUCUCUGGCCCUAUCCCCAAACUACUGUCCCAGAAUAUGUAUUUUAACAAGGUUGCUAGUGACUCAUAUGCUCAAUAAUGUUUGAAAAGCCCUGCCCCAGACUCUUGAAUAGGAUUGGCCAGGAGGUGGGAAAAGGGAUGGUAGCAGUGGUGCUUGCAAUGUACAUAGCCCCAGAUAUAUAGAAUCAGAAUCUGUAAGAGUGGAGACUUAGGAAUCUAUGUUUUAACAAGCUCCUCAGGGAAUUUUUAUAAACACUGCAAUUUGAAGAUCACAGGUAAGAAAUAAAAACAGUUCAGGGGAGAAGUGCAAUAUACACUAUGAACACCAGCUGUCAGUACUCUACAAUUUAAAAAUGACCUUGAUGGUUAAUAGUGAAAAGAAUUAUUACAAGAACAUUUUCUAAAUUUGAAAUGUAAAGAUCUAGGGAACAUGAGCUCUAAGUUAAACAGAUUUGAAUUAUCCUGUGAUUUUAUCAAAGAUCUCUAGACAUAUAAAUAGUUUACAGAGAGUAGUGGUUGGAGAUUUAGAGAUUUUGGGUACAUGUGAGUAAGUCCAUGUCAGAAUAAUGUCUUACUAUACUUGGGAAAAUAAAGUGAAUGCUUUUGUGGUUUUAAAACCAAACUGGACUCUACAGUUUGAAAGUAUGUAAGGCAGGUCAAUGACUCUUUCUAAGAAUAUCUUUUCAUUUUCUUGGCAUUAUGUCCUGAUGUUACUGGGUUUUUCAGGUACUUAAUUUUCUAGAGGGACCCCGCAGGGCAGAGCGACGUUGCACUGAGGCGAUCUGAGCUGAGCACAGGGGUAAGGAUAUAUUCCUGGACUGUGUGCUGCUGUCACCGAGAACAUUUGCAAAUCUGCUGACACAUUACAGUGGGAAUAUCCCCUGGACGCAUGGAAGGCCCAGUGCCCUGUCAUUUGAGCAGUGCAGGCACGUCACCAGCCCAUGGGGAUGUCAGUAUUCAUGCUGCUCUUUGAUAUAAAGUUCGCAUUUUCUAUAUGGUUUGAUGAUGUUUAGUGGGAUCAGUGAUGCCUGUUUGUUAAUUGCUUACAGAAGAUUUGGGCUUAAAAAUAAAAUCUUGGAUCAGGUAACAUUCUCUGUUUUAAAUUUUAUUGAUAUUUCUGAAUUCCAAGGAAAUUACUUACAUAUCAGAUGGUCUUUGAAACCUUAUUUUUUUCUAUUAUUUUUAGUAUUCUCUGCACUCUGUCUUAUAUUUCUGCCCUUUCUCCUGCAUAAGUAAAACAGAAAGAUUUAGUUAGCGUUUGAGGAUGAAAAUUAUCAAGCCUAUAUUCUCAACAACAAUCUGGGAUUUGAGUUAAUUUUAAUGUCCAAUUUGUGUCCCUCUUGCCCC
rnacentral:lncRNA from 1 species